rnacentral:lncRNA from 9 species
CUGGCCCAUGUCAGGUGCUGCUCCCGCCUCCGGGCCACCUGAGGUCUGGGAGACAGACCCCACCCCACCCCCGGAAGGAGUUUGCAGUUCCCAGGCCCCCGAUUUCUCACCAGGAGGAACCGGAGGACCUUUCCUCCCAGCAGAGCAGAAAGGCACCCAAGCCCGCUGACAGCUCUCUCUGCGUCUUCAGGCCUUCCGCCUCGACUGCUUUCCGUCUGGGGCAGAGGGAGCCUCACAGAGGUGGGUGCAGUGUAUGCGGUCAAUGCUCUGGGGCACAGCCCCUGGCCUGGACAUGAGGCUGUCAAGGAAGGCUUCCUGGAGGAGGUGACCUGUGCGCUGUGUUUGAAGAGUGACCGGAGUUAUUCGGGAGGGAGCGCCCCCUCUUGGUUGUGCGCCCUGCGGUGGGGGUGGGGUUUGGGAUCCCAGAAGGGACGGGGCGGUGGUUGGAUGUGGCUUUGGAGAGCCGGCCUUCUCCGAGCAGCGGGACCUCCCCGUGGGCCUCCUCCUGCCCACGAGGCUCCGUCUCUGGAGGAGCACUUUCAGGGCUGCGUCCAGAGUCCCAGCUCCACUCGAUACCUCGCGUGCGUGAGGAAUUUGGAGGGAAAGGACACCAAGCCCCCGUGGGGCCCAAAGCAGACAGGACAUCCCACUGCCCCGGCAGUGGCUCUCCGGCCAGGCCAGACUGGGGACACCUGGAGUGCCUGGCUGGCCAAGCAACCCAGGCCCCUGGGGAUGCCUGGCCGGGCUUUUGACCUCAGGCAGCAGACAUGGCACUGCUGGCAUAGCCUGGGAAGGGGCAGGAGGAGGCGCCUCUCCUGGGGGCCCAGCCCCAGAGCUGCGGGGACGGAGGGCUGAGUCCCUGAGGAGUCCUUGCGUAGAGGGCUUUGUCUGGGCUUCAGGGCCGCACCGAAUGCAGGUCUGCUUGCAGGCACCGGAGGCCCCAGGGACCGAGCUGUUCGCAGAGGAACGGGAGAGGCAUCUUAGCCCAGGCACUGAGACUGGGGUUUGACGAGCUGCCCCCCACUGCCCUGGAACAGGCCCGACAGUGUGCGCCCAGAAAGACUGCCUGCCUGGCGAGUCGUGGUGGCCUGGCCCGGGCUUGGCUGGACCAGGACGGGUGUGGGAGCCAGGCCGCACUGGUGGGCGGUGGGCACGUUGGGGAGGGGGUGUGGGGCAUCUCAGAAGGAAAACCGCAGGGAAGUGGAGCAUCCUGGGGCUGCCACCGUGGACUUGCCACCAUCCCACCCGUGACCCAUGGCCGUGGCACCUUGUGUCCGGGGCCCGCUGCUGUGGGCGGAAUCGGGGCACGCAACUGCUGGGCGCGGUGCUCUGCUCUGCGAAGGGCCUCCACUCAGGUGGAGGGGGCCUUGUCUCCUCGAACCAGCUCCCUGCGCACACGGGUGUACUGCACACAUGUGUGAUGCACGCACACACACGUAUGCAUGUGUGCCCAUGCUGCAUCCUCACCAGCCACACACCAGACCAUGCAGAUGCACACCUGCUUCCAUGAGUGUGCAUGCACGCAUAUCCAUGUGUGCAUGUAGCGCACAUACACAUGUACCUGCCCCUGCAGGCAGCAUGCACGCAUACCCACCCACGUGUGCACACACACAUCUCCAUGCACACGCACGUCUCCAUGCACACACAUAUGCUGCAUACACACAUGUCCACACAUGCACAUACAGUCACACGCACGCCAUGUGCACACAUGCAUGAAUUGGGGUGCCUGCCUCAGUUGUGCAAGUGCACAUAUCCGUAUGCACCAGGGCAUGCACAUUGCUGCACACACCCACUCUGUGCCAGCACACACCCGCACACCCACACAUGUGCACGUGCCUGUAGCCUCGCUCGCCUUCCUAGGCUGCAGGGAGAUUGUAUUUCCAUCACCCCGUGGCAGGUGGCUCCUCCCAGGUUUCGUCGGCCUGCCCCGUGUGAAGCGUCCUCCAGCUCGCUCCCUCUAGCCUGGGGCCCCUUUGUCACCGCCUUCAUCACCGCCUGCCAUGGUUCCGGGCCUUGGCACGUGCCCUCCUCCAGGCUGGCCACGCUGUCCUGUCUGUCCCUUGGACUCUUCUGUCCCUUCAAAACAUGUUGCCCCAGAUGCCUCCCUCGGAGGCCCCGGGCUUCCAGGCCGCAGUGGGGCCCUUCACUGGCCUGGGUGCCACCACCAGACCGCGUCUCUCUGCCGUGGGCACUUGAGGGGAGAGGCCGUAUCUCUGCGGAGCCGGGCUCGCAGCUCAUAGUGGGAACUCAGUCACAGCGUGGCAGAGGGAUGGAUGGUACGAAGGGCCUGGGGUCCUGCAUACGCCCCAGCCGCCCCAGCUGCCUGCAGUGUAGGCGGUGCAGGUGGAGCCCAGCAGAGCGCAGUGCUGCCUCGCACAGAGCCGCCCAUGCCGGACCCAGCGUCCCCCGCCAGCGGGCCCUUUCUGCCCCCUUCCUGUGGAAGUUAUGAGCUUAAGCCUCCUCUCACCCCCUUGCUUGCUGUCUGGCAGCCUGGACCCCCGCUGCCUCCCGGGACUCAGUGUUCCCAUCUGUAAAGUGGGGGUAUUGGCUGGAUGGAAGCUCCGUGCCUGCCUCGAGCUCCUGGGGCUGGUGUUUCGUCUGCCUGCGCCCCUGCCCUCGGUGGCUGCCUGCAGGGACGAGGAGAGCCCUUCCAGCAGGGUGGCUGGUGCAGCAGCGGAGGGGAGGCCUGGCCCACUAGACUCCAGACCAAACAGCUUGUGUCUCCAUUUUUCCCCACUUUUAUUCGAAAUUUCAUUUUCAGAGAUGAGGCGGGGAAAAAUGAGGCUGGCUUCUCUCCCUGCCCCUCCCUAAAGAAUUCCAGAACCACUUUGUCUUGUCAGAGGGCGGCUGGGAUCCGCCGGCCGGGCCUGGCCCUCCGCGCAGACCGAAUCCAUUGCCGUAUCGAUCACUUUGAUGGAUUUGGCACAGCUGAGUUCUUCCAGAGCUGGCGGAAGUCCCUCUGGGGAAAGAACUGCUUUGGGAACCGGCUUUGAUUUGCAGUGGGUGUAACAGAGGAAGGCAGCAGGUGAAGGUAGGGGCCCAGGUUGCCCCAGGUCAUGUGUGGUCCCCUGUCUGGCUGUCACGUGCCUGCUGUCCACUCACCUUUGCCUCGCCCGUCCCCAGCCGCUGGCUUCGUGGCUGGAGGGGAAAGGUCGCAUGACCCAGUCCCGGCCAGUAAGAGCUCCCUGAGGACAAGCAAGAGAGGUACGAGAAGACUCACUGCCUUCCCACCUGUUUGGUCAUGUGUGAGGAUGUGAUGCCUGGAGCCGCAGCAGCUCUCUUGGGACCAGGAGGAGCUGACUCCAAAGAUGACAACCCUCAGAGGACAAAGUCUGUGUCCCUAAUGCUGUUGGUCUUGAGCCUCUAAAGGAACUCACCCUGCCGCCAGCCUUUGGCCAGAUUUCUUGCCAAGGGAGGCACUGAGUGGCCUCAUUAUUCAAGGGCUUUGGGGAGGAGGGUUCCGCUGCCGUUGAAUGUACCCUCGUGGAUUUGCUGUCCCCAGCUCGAUCCUGCCUCCUUUGAGAAUCACUGUGCCAGGCUGUGGUAGACAAAAUAACACACCCGAAGACAUCCAUGCCCUAAUCUGGAAAACGUGGGCCUGUGUGACCUUACAUGGCAGAAGGGACUCUGCUGAUGAGAUUAAGCUCAGGCCUCUGGGAUGCGGGUUACUCUGGAUUAUCCAAGUCAACCCCACGUAUAAUCCCGAGGUCCUUCCGAGUGAAUGAGGCAAGCGGGUUGGCAUUGGAGGAGAUGUGGCAGCAGAAGCAGAGGGCGGAGUGAUGGAAGGAGGGCCACGAGCCCAGGAGUGCGGGCUCCUCUAGACGGGAAAGACGAGGAGACGGAUCCUUGAGAAUCUAGAGACCAGCCCUGCCAGGCCAUUUGUGCUUCUGGACUCUAGAACCAUGAGAUAAUAAAUCUGUUGUUAGAA